rnacentral:lncRNA from 1 species
ACAAUUGCAAAAACAUCCCUGCCCGAAAACUACUCACACUGCACUGUGUACCGAUACACGGGGUCGCGUACCGGUACAACACCUGCGAAACAGCCAAACCCGAGCCUCGGGUUUGCACGAAAUUCGUCUGUGUACCAGUACACCAGCCCCGUACCGGUACAGCCAUCAGCGCGUACCGGUACAACCAUCAACCCCGUACCGGUACACAGCCCUGCUGAGGCUACCCGAGAGUUGACCAAAAAUUCGACUUUUCGGAUUUUGGUGCUAGGUUUUAAACCUCCAAUCUCGGGGCUCAAACCAUGGGUCGGAACACUACCAACGACCCUCCACGAAGUGUGGAAAAGCUCAGAACACGAAACAAACACUCGAAUCUUGCAAUUUGCAAAGAUCCAGUGCGUCACAGCUGAACAUUACAAGAGCAAGUGUCACGAGUAAUAAACAUACAAGUGAAACAAAAGAGAGAGAAAGACACUAAGCUAUUACAUUAGUUCAACAUAAUACAAUUAAUUACAACUUUGCAUUCCCCCAAAAUAUAAACAUUAGUUUACAUUCAUCUCAAAAUAUAACUCACAUUCUAUACAUCAUCUACUCUCAACAUAUAGGGUAACUCUAAUGCAGUAGGAAAGCAUCUACCAACUAGCACUAGGGCGCUAAGCCCUUAACGCUAUCAUCUGCCUGUCUGCUCUCGUGUGUACCUGUACCCCAAAAUCACACGGGG